rnacentral:rRNA from 1 species
AAGGCAGCUUGCCAGGUCUGGACUGACGUUGAGGCUCGAAGGUGCGGGUAUCGAACAGGAUUAGAUACCCUGGUAGUCCGCACGGUAAACGAUGGAUACUCGCUGUCGGCGAUACACGGUCGGCGGCCAAGCGAAAGCGUUAAGUAUCCCACCUGGGGAGUACGCCGGCAACGGUGAAACUCAAAGGAAUUGACGGGGGCCCGCACAAGCGGAGGAACAUGUGGUUUAAUUCGAUGAUACGCGAGGAACCUUACCCGGGCUUGAACUGUGCCUGACAGCCUCAGAGAUGGGGCUUCCAGCAAUGGCAGGCAUGGAGGUGCUGCAUGGUUGUCGUCAGCUCGUGCCGUGAGGUGUCGGCUUAAGUGCCAUAACGAGCGCAACCCCUCCCGCCAGUUGCCAUCAGGUAAAGCUGGGCACUCUGGGGGCACUGCCACCGCAAGGUGUGAGGAAGGUGGGGAUGACGUCAAAUCAGCACGGCCCUUACGUCCGGGGCUACACACGUGUUACAAUGGGAGGUCACAGAGGGCUGCUACCCGGCGACGGGACGCCAAUCCCCAAACCCUCCCUCAGUACGGACUGGAGUCUGCAACCCGACUCCACGAAGCUGGAUUCGCUAGUAAUCGCGCAUCAGCCACGGCGCGGUGAAUACGUUCCCGGGCCUUGUACACACCGCCCGUCAAGCCAUG